AGGGCGGUUUGCCGCCCGUGACUCUGCGAGAAGUCCAUUGAACCUUAUCAUUUAGAGGAAGGAGAAGUCGUAACAAGGUUUCCGUAGGUGAACCUGCGGAAGGAUCAUUGUCGAGACUAAAGUAUAUCGAACGAUUUGGUGAAUAAGUCAAUAUAAGCCGUGGUAUUAUAUUCGCGGGAGAAGCCACCCCAUUUGUAAUCUCACUUCCCCUUGGGGGGGUGGAGGUCAUGAAAAAGGAUGGUUGAACACUCAAAUCGGCGCAGCAUUGCGCCAAGGGAUAUAUCGAAGCACAAGCCCUUAAAUGGGUUUGAUGGCAAGGUGUGCUGUUGCACCCCAUUAGGAUUUGCAUGACUCUCGACAAUGGAUAUCUCGGCUCUUGCAUCGAUGAAGAGCGCAGCGAAAUGCGAUACGUGGUGCGAAUUGCAGAAUCCCGUGAACCAUCAAGUCUUUGAACGCAAGUUGCGCCCGAGGCCAAUGGCCAAGGGCACGUCUGCCUGGGUGUCAAGCAUUAUUUCACUUCGAGCUAAUUCCACCUCUUCGAUGGUUGGGCUGGCAAAAGCUUGGAUGUGUAGAGUGGCUCAUCGUGCCUCUCGGUGCGUUGGGCUGAAGUGCGAAUUAUCAGGUUAUUAGUUGCGAACAAUAAGGGGUGGAUUAAGUGAAGCAUGUCUUAUUGUGUUGCGUAUGCCUGAGGGAAGAUUAUGCAUGGUAUGGUGAUCCCAAAUCAUGCGUUGAUCCCCAUAUGACGUUUGGAAUGCGACCCCAGGAUGGGCGGGGCCACCCGCCGAGUUUAAGCAUAUCAAUAAGCGGAGGAGAAGAAACUUAGUUUAAGCAUAUCAAUAAGCGGAGGAGAAGAAACUUA
rnacentral:rRNA from 1 species